AGAGAGGGCAGGAGCGGACCGCGCGCCCAGGAUUGAGAGUCCUUGCGCUCCAGACCCCCACCCAGUGGCCGCCAGGGUCUCCGCCUCUCCGGACCCUCGCCGCGCCCAGGCAGGCGCGCCAGGGCGGGGCUGACCUGCCCGCGAAGUUGCGGACAGUGCGUGAGAAGCCAGCACCCCCUUCCGCCGCCUCCAGCUUAUGGUGAGUGUGGCUGGGGGUGCAGAGAGCGCACGGGAAUUCGGGGGUCUGGGGCCGAGGACGUCACCGCAGCCGGGCUCGCCGGGAGUUCUAGGAAACUGGUCAAAGAACUCAUGCAAGUGGAACUUACAGCUUCCUUGAUCGGACUCAGCAUUCAGAUAUCAAAGCAGACUGCAAUACCUGCGUGGAAAUAGAGGACAGAAAGUUAGAUAGGAAUGUGGUGAUGAGGCUCACCUAGACUUCUGGAGAGUCUUCCAACUAUCUACUCAAGAUCUUAGCUAACUGACCUGUAUGUCCUGCACUAGGUUCUCACCAUUGUUUCCAGCUCCACACCCUGGCCAA
rnacentral:sRNA from 1 species